AUCACUUCUCGGCCUUUUGGCUAAGAUCAAGUAUAUUAUUACUAUUUUUUUUUGAGACGGAGUUUCACUCCUGUUGCCCAGGCUGCAGUGCAAUGGCUGGAUCUUGGCUCACUGCAACCUCCUCCUCCUGGGUUCAACCUCCU
rnacentral:snRNA from 2 species